rnacentral:rRNA from 1 species
GACGAACCGCCCGAACGUUAUUCGGAAUUACUGGGCGUAAAGGGCGCGUAGGCGGUCCCGUCAGUCCCUUGUGAAAUCCCCCGGCUCAACUGGGGAACUGCAAGGGAUACAGCGGAGCUUGAGUUCGGGAGAGGGAAGCGGAAUUCCGGGUGUAGCGGUGAAAUGCGUAGAUAUCCGGAGGAACACCGGUGGCGAAGGCGGCUUCCUGGACCGAUACUGACGCUGAGGCGCGAAAGCUAGGGGAGCAAACGGG